rnacentral:lncRNA from 1 species
UCGACAUGACGCAAAUGGCUUCCACUUCAAAGUCCACCAUACCGUCUGCAUUCGAAUCAGAUAUUUCGGAUUCUGAUUCAGAAGACUCGAUUUCAGACGAGUGUUGAUUACAAAAUUUGUAUUUGCUUAUUCAAAUUUCGAAUGUUUAACGAUUCUGUAAUUUAGUUUCUUUUUAAUAAAAAACAUCGAUUUCAAAUUCAAUUUAAAAAUCGUUUUCUGAAAUAUCGAUUUCUAUUUCAAAAAGCAACGAUUCGAACGCAAAAUAUGGAAUCCUGUUUUAAAAAAAAAAUUAAACAAACAUUGUAUGGCGGAUUUCCGCCAUCUAUACUCUUCUACUAAGGUUUAGAUGGCGGAAAUCCGCCAUACAAACAUUGUCGACAGACGUCUGAGCAUGGAUGUCACAUUCACGGAAGAAGACAUGAAGGAUGUCACCACCCCCUAGUGAUAACUCCCAUUUUCCGGAAGGGCGACCACACCAGCGUGCGCUUACACAGUGCUGGUCGACACGAGAGCAUCGGUCAACGUAUUAUACUAGAACGCGUUCGUCGACCUCUCCCGUGCAGACCUACUCCCAAAAAGAGCCUCCAUCAGAGGUUUCGGCCAGUCAAAGGUCCUCGUGGCAAGGACAAUAGUAAUACUAGUCACCCUGGGUCGGCACGUCCAUGCGAAGAUAAUCGAAGUCAACUUCACGGUCGUGAAUUUUACAUCGAGUUACAACACUAUCUUGGGAAGGGCGGCACUACACGCGUUCCAGACGGUGAUGUCGUCCCUCCACCAAUGCCUGAAAUUCCCAACAGAAGGAGGAGUAUGCACAAUAGAGGGAUCCCAGAAGAGAGUGUGGGAAUGCUACUUCAAUUUGGUAGGGGAAGUGUCUUGGAUCGUGAUUCGAGACUAUAAGGGGGGAUAAUAGCCUCUUUUCGAUUUGUGCAGAUUAAUAGCGGAAUUAACUGCACACACUUAAGUACACAAAUGGUUGUAUAAUAAUAAUAGUAUAAUAUUGUUGGCAAUAUAAUACUAUUAUAUGAUUUUAAGUAAUAUAAUAUUAUAUCUUAUAAUAUUAUAUAUUGGGCUUGUCUUUUUCUCUUAAAGUUUACUUCAGUAUAUGAAUACAGAGUCAACUUUUAGAUAGUGUUUUAUAAACAACUGUAGUAUAUGAAUACUAAGUUAUAUUAUAAACACAAGUUAUAUUAUAGAGUAAAUGACCAGAUAACUGGAUAUAUAUUUGAUAAGCAAAAUAUGACCAGAUAACUGGAUAUAUAUAUAAUAAGUAAAUGCUUGAACAAAUAUAUGAAUAAAGAUUUAAAGCAAUAAAUUUAACCUCAGAUAGUUGACCAGAUAACUGGAUGAGGAAUCUGCGUAAAGUAGUCAACCUCUGUAUUUGACCAGAUAACCGGAAGAGGGAUCUUUUUCAAUUAAGUGUUGUUUAGUUGUUUUUAGAUGAAAGAUAAAAACUAAAGUUAACAAAGAACAACACAAGAGAAUUUAUACUUGUUCACUCAGACAAGGCUAAUCUAGUCCCGACCAACUAUCGGAAUUCACUAGCCUAAAGGUUAUGACAAAACCUUAGAGUAUCAAGGAAACUCUUAAGAACCUCUCUAAGUUUUAAGGCUACUUCGUUUAGGAACCAGUCUUUUAC